rnacentral:sRNA from 1 species
CUUCUUCUACCUGUUGGGGGCAAAUAAAGUGAAUAUGCGCGUCAAUACCGCCAGCGGUAAGAAUCUUGCCUUCGCCUGAGAUAAUUUCAGUGCCGGGGCCAAUCACUAUAUCUACAUCGGGCUGAGUGUCGGGGUUGCCUGCCUUGCCAAUCGCUGCAAUGCGCCCGUUUUGCAGGCCGACAUCGGCUUUAACAAUGCCCCACCAGUCUAAAAUCAGCGCGUUGGUAAUCACCGUAUCCAUCACCGUGGCAUCGUUACGCUGGCUUUGCCCCAUGCCGUCGCGGAUG